UAGUCUCGCACAGAUGCAUAUCAAUAAGCGGAGGAAAAGAAACUAACAAGGAUUCCCCUAGUAACGGCGUGUGAAGCGGGAAGAGCUCAAAUUUGAAAUCUUAAAGGGUUUCCCUUUACGAAUUGUAGUUUAAAGAAGUGUUUUCUGUUGAGGUUUUGGUAAAAGUUCUUUGGAAUAGGACAUCAUAGAGGGUGAGAAUCCCGUAUUUGACCUUUACUUUCAACUUUGUGAUACACUUUCAAAGAGUCGGAUUGUUUGGGAAUGCAGUCCAAAAUGGGUGGUAAAUUUCAUCUAAAGCUAAAUAUUGGCGAGAGACCGAUAGCGAACAAGUACCGUGAGGGAAAGAUGAAAAGAACUUUGAAAAGAGAGUUAAACAGUACGUGAAAUUGUCAAAAGGGAAGCGUUUGACACCAGUGUUGUUUUUCCGAAAAUCAAUUAUAAAUGUUUUGUUUCUGAGGAGUGAUGACUUCAUCGGCUUCCUUCUCUCUUCACGAAACUUUUGUAAUGCACUUUUCGGUUAACAAGUCAACAUCAAUUUCUUUUGCUGUAAAAAAGCUUGAGGAAGGUGGCUUGAGAUUCGUCUUAAGUGUUUAUAGCCUCUUGCCUAUGCAGUCGGAGAGAUUGAGGUCUGCAGCGUAGAUCCUUCGGGGCUAAAUGCAUUUGUGCUAAGUUAUAGCAUUUUAUAGACAACUUGUUGACUAUGAUUUGUCUUGUAGCUUACUCGCUUAUGUUAUUUUACCUACGCUUAGGAUGUUGACAGCAGUAUAGACUGU
rnacentral:rRNA from 1 species